UGUGUGCGCUUCACGGUCAAAAACCGCCCCUUUCCCUCAGAGCGGGAGGACCAGAGCAGUCGUUUCUCGAGCGCAGCCGUUGUUGCCAUGAUGAUGAUGUCACGGACCCAACCACGAGCGUGGAGUAACGGAAGGGGUGGUUGGUUGAGAACUGUCGGGGAAGGUUCUUUCUCCACUCUACGAGAAUGCAUUGAAACGCCUAUUGGUACUCGAGCUGCGAUAUCGAUAGCGCAGCUUUCAAUUUCUUGGGGCUGAGGAGAAAAGGCUGCAGAACGCCCAAUCACCGAUGGGCUUAAGGGAGGUUAUUUUCCUCCUAUUUAGCCGCCAUUUCGGAGGCAGGGCUGCCUCUAAAGCCAUGGAAAGCAAAGAGAUUGAAGCACUGCUCUGGCCACUGCUGCACCUCGCAUAGAAUUGACGUCUACAGCAUAGUGCUUAACAAAGGUGUCUGAUGACGACCAGGCAGCUGCUUUGCUAUGAGCACAUCUGGCAAAAUGGCCAAAGAGGAUGCCUGAAUCGGGUAGAAUGAGCUGUCAGAUGAAGAGGGCUCUGGACGGCAGUAUGUUGGUAUGCCAACUGGAUGGUGGAUACAAUCCAUCUAGAAAUGGUCUGGGCUAAUUGCCCUUGUUUGGAGCACCAAAACAGACAAAUAAAUGUGGGUCUGUAUGAAACUCUUUUUGUUCUAUACAAAUAAAAUGACAAUGCUUUCUCUGUA